UUAACCCUAAAGAUGCCACGCGCGGACAGCCUUCUCUCCCACAAACUCUGGUGGCUUCUCUUCUCCUCUCACUCGUUGUUGAUGAAAAAAAUCGUCAAACAAUUUUGUAAAGAUGGAAUUUUCUCGACAGUUAUCCGAAACCCAAUUCGUUUGAAGAAAAAAAAAAUCCCAUUUUCUUCUCAAACAAUCUAAAAUUUAAUCGAUUUUCCACCAUUGUUGAACACAGAGAACAAACCCAAGAAGAAAACCAUAGAGCAGGCAUUUUGUAGAGACCAAAAAUGGCCACUUCUCUUUCUUCUUCACAAACUCUUCACACCCUCUUCUGCAAAAACCUCCCCAUUUCUCUGUCUUCUUCCUUUCUCUCAAUUCCCAAGCCUUUAUCCCCUCUUCCUCUCUGCCACCGCUUCCUUCCUCUCACUAACAAUCGUCUUCAUUGCCGCCGUGGCAUUGUGGUUCGGUCCCAGUCUGAAAAUGGCGUCGAAGCUCUUCGGCCAUAUGAUUUUGAUCUCUUUACUAUCGGUGCAGGCAGUGGGGGUGUGCGAGCUUCCCGCUUUGCUGCUAAUUUUGGUGCUUCCGUGGCGGUUUGUGAGCUUCCUUUCUCCACCAUUUCGUCCGAUAGUGCUGGAGGUGUUGGUGGGACAUGUGUAAUUCGUGGAUGUGUACCGAAGAAGCUACUCGUAUAUGCAUCAAAGUAUGCACAUGAAUUUGAAGAGAGUCAUGGCUUUGGAUGGAAAUAUGACACUGAACCGAAACAUGACUGGAGCACCUUGAUUGCGAACAAGAAUGCUGAAUUACAACGACUAACUGGUAUCUACAAAAACGUUUUGAAAAAUGCUGGCGUCACCUUGAUUGAAGGCCGUGGAAAGAUUCUGGAUGAACACACGGUUGAUGUAGAUGGGAAAAUUUACUCGGCUAGACACAUUCUAGUGUCAGUUGGGGGGCGCCCUUUCAUUCCUGACAUUCCUGGUAGUGAGUAUGCUAUAGAUUCUGAUGCUGCCCUUGAAUUGCCAUCCAAACCUGUGAAGAUUGCCAUAGUUGGAGGUGGAUAUAUUGCUCUAGAGUUUGCUGGCAUCUUCAAUGGUUUGAAAAGUGAAGUCCACGUAUUUAUACGACAAAAAAAAGUGCUUAGAGGCUUUGAUGAAGAGAUUAGAGAUUUUGUUGCGGAACAGAUGUCACUAAGAGGAGUUGAGUUCCAUACAGAGGAGGUACCACAGGCUAUCCUUAAAUCAGCAGAUGGGUCGUUAUCUCUGAAGACUAGCAAAGGAACAGUUGAAGGCUUCUCACAUGUGAUGUUUGCAACAGGGCGCAGGCCUAAUACAAAGAACUUGGGAUUGGAAGAAGUAGGUGUAAAAAUGACCAAAAAUGGAGCAAUUGAGGUUGAUGAAUACUCCCGUACAUCAGUUCCUUCAAUUUGGGCUGUUGGAGAUGUUACAGAUAGAAUAAACCUUACUCCUGUUGCUUUGAUGGAGGGAGGAGCAUUAGCAAAAACUAUAUUUCAGAAUGAGCCUACAAAACCUAGCUAUAGUGCCGUUCCUUGUGCUGUUUUUUCCCAGCCACCAAUUGGAAUAGUUGGACUUACCGAAGAGCAGGCCAUACAAGAACAUGGUGAUGUUGACAUCUACACAGCAAACUUUCGGCCCUUGAAGGCGACACUCUCAGGGCUUCCAGACCGAGUUUUUAUGAAGCUUGUAGUCUGUGCAAAGACGAAUAAGGUUUUAGGACUGCACAUGUGUGGUGACGAUUCACCAGAAAUCGUGCAGGGUUUUGCAGUGGCUGUGAAAGCUGGUUUGACCAAGGCAGACUUUGAUGCUACCGUGGGUGUUCAUCCUACAGCGGCUGAAGAAUUUGUCACCAUGCGAACUCCUACAAGGAAGACUCGGAGAAAUCCUGAGGAAAAGUCAGAAUAUGAGGCUAAAGCUGCAGCAGGGGUAUAAAACGGAUGCAAGCUUAAUCAAUUUGUAAUUCAAAAACUUAGUCAGUCCAUUCAGGUUGACUAUGAAAGGUACAGGAACGGACAGCCCCGACGUCGGAUUUGAUUAAUGGCGAUGAUAAUAAUGAUGAAGAGCUUGUUGAAACUGGUCGUACAAAAUCGAUAACUUUACAAGGAUGCGAAUUUCAAAUAUUGCAGCUUUGAAGAACAGUGGAUUCACUAUGUUGUUCUCUUUUUUUCCUCUUUUUUUUUUUAAUUUAUUUUUCAUUAACAUUUUGAGGAGCACGGAUUAAAUCUGGAGUCGUCAUUGAGUGGAUUGUCUUGAUAGUUCUGGAUGUAUAUCUUUCUUAUUUAAUGGGUGGGUAUUUCCGUUUCUGUU